AAUUAAUGCCUCAAUCCAGUGACCGACUUCCUUGUUUCUAAGUUCCAUGAGAGACAGUGGAAUGCACUGGAGCCUGAAGUUCUGAUGGAGAUCACCUUUGACACUUACUAUGUAGCUUUGGCUAGUUUCUUCACCGAUGCAAGAAGCACUGAUUAGGGGCCAGCCCCGUGGCCGAGUGGUUAAGCGCCUUUCAUGUCUGCAUUUACCUGUGUACCACCACUCCAUUACCUGCAGAACAAAGCAAGCGGAGAUGCCAAGGUCUCACUGUGGGGACACCUGUGCUGCUCUCACCUGCAAAUGGGUUCGCCUGCCCAGCCACUGCAGAAUUCGACUUCUCCAAGCAAAACACAUUUUUUUCAAAAUUCCCCAUCACUGACCAGUAACAGUUCGCCGAUGGGCAGCAGACUGUGGACCACACUUGGAAUAGCCCUGUUCCGGCUUACUGCCCAUUUUACAGACCAGCAAAGAGAGGCCCAGACAAACAACACACCCAAGGGGACACAGCCGGUUAAUGAAAGAGCCAGUGUUGAACUUAGAUCUCCCAAACUGUUUCUCACGUACCUGAUUAACCUUGACGAAAAUGCUAAAGAUUUACUGAGAACUUGAUUUAGGUCUAUUGAGUGAGUUGACAACCUGGAAACCCAAGAGAACCAACGGUGUAAUUCCACUCUGAGUCUAAAGGCCUGAGCACCAGGAGAGCUAAAGGUGUCGUUCCCACCCAAAGGCUGGCAGGCUUCUUUCCCAGGAAGAAUCGAUGUUUCAGUUCAAGUGCAAAAGCAGGACUAAAGGCGAUGUCCCAGUUCAGAUGCAAUCAGGCAGGAGGAAUUCUCUCUUACUUCCACAGUUUGAGGCAGUUAUUACAGCAGCACUCCACUUUCGGUACCAAAAUCUGUAUCUGUCAAAGUUCUCCAGAGAUUUAUCUUUAAAGAAUUGGGGGCCAGCACAUCCCAACAUGCAUAGGGCAGGCUGGUAGGCUGGGAGCCCAAGCAGGAGUUGAUGUUGCUGUCCUGUCUUGAGUCCAAAAUUUAUAGGGCAGGUGAGCAGGUUGGAAACUCAGGCCGGACUUAAGGCUGCAAUCAUGAGGCACAAUUUCUGCUUUUCUGGAAACCUCACUUUUUGCUCUUAAGGCCUUCAAUUUGUUGGAUGAGGCCCACCCACAUCCCCAAAGGUAAUCGCCUUUACUUAAAGUCAAUUGAUUAUAGAUGUUAGCCACAUCUACAAAAUACCUUCACAGCAAUACCUAGAUUAGUACUUGGUUAAAUAACUGGAUACUAUACCCUAGCCACGGUGACACAUAAAACUAACCAUCACAACUGCCCACCACCCUACCCUUCUUCCUUGACCCUCCUAAUUCUCUACCUUGAUCUUUAUUUAUUUUUUUGCCAUAACACUUAACACCUAACAGACUACAUAAUUUACUUAUUUAUUAUAUAUUCUAUGCCCUUCUCUCUUGAAUUUACAAAGGUGAGGGAUCUUUUCUGUUUUGUUCACUGACGUAGCCCAAAUACCCAGAAUAGUGUCUGACACUCAAUAAAUGUGUAGAAGGAAUGAAGCCAGGUUUUGCCACUUUCUAGAAAGUAACAACCAAUGGAUGACUUAUUUAACUUCACUCAACAAGUAAAAGCAAACAAACAAACAAGAAUCUAUCUCUUAAGAUUGUCAUAGGACUAAAUAAAACAAAGUUUAUAAGGUGUCUGGAACCCAGAGAGCAUUCAGUAAAUUGUAUUGAUGAUUGUCAUUUCCUCCAGUUGUUCAAUCAGCAAAUGCUUACAAAGCACCUACUGUGUGUUGGGUACUGGACACCAAAGAUACCACAGAGUGUAACAAAGUCCCUGUUCUCUUGGAACUUACCUUCUUGUGUGAAAAUAAACCAUGAACAAAUUCCCCGCCCUAGACAGCCAUUUCUACAUUUUUAUUACAACCCAUGACCCAACUGCAAGGUCAGGCUCACGGGCAAUCAGAGGUUCUUUCACAGUGGAUCAGACAUAGUUGCCUCAAGGACAUGAUGGGCAUCUGGUUCAAAGCCCAACUCUUCUUCAUUGUCAAAUCCUUUGCCCCACAGGCGUUGGCUCUCUGCACAGUUGGAUGACAGAUCUUCCAAACACGGAGCAUCAGGGUAAUUAGCACGGCCUCCGAAGCCUCCUCUUCUUCAUUCAGGCAAGGAAAUAAGGCCCUGCACCUGGGCUGGGAAGAUGCAAAACUAGUACUGCUCUGGAGCACUUCUCCACCUCCAGGAAUUCCUCCGAGGACCUCGAAUGGCUGGUCUCCACCCCCACCCCCACCGCCUGCCUUUGACAAGAUGGCAUCCAAGUGCAGCUUCAUAGCCUUAUGGAGGCAAGAGGAGCCUUUGGUACACAGAUGAUGAGCAAACUGAGGCACAGCGAGGUUAAGAACCUGCUAUGAAAUGGCAGAGCUGGGAUUCAAGCUCAGGCAGUCAGACAUUGGCGCCCACCUCUUCAUCGUUACGUAUGCACAGGGCGUACUGCAGACCACAUAGGGGUGGCAUCAUAACCCAGCUUUGGGGGGUUGAGGAAGGCUUCCCAAGGAGGUGAUUUCUAAGCAGAAUUGUAAAAGACCAAUAGGAACAGAGUCAGACAAAGAGACUGAGGAAGGGCUUUCUUAGAAGGAUUUGCAAGAUCGCCUACUGAGUUCCAGGCAUUACGCUAAGAGCAAGAAAUACAAAGAAAUGAAACAUGCUCCUUGACUUAUAGAUGGAAAUUUAGGCAAAUUGUUGGAACAAAGUGUGUCAAGGGAUAGUCUAGAUGUGCAUAAGAUGCUAUAGGGAGAUAGAGGAAGCAGGAAUCGAGCCAAGGGAAAUAGUUCCAUGAGGGCUUCCCAGGGGAGGUGGCAUCUGAGUUAAAUCUUGAAGGAUGAGUAAGAGUUUGCUAGACAAACCAGAAUUGGGAGGGACAUUUCUGGCAGAGGGAAUCACACGUGCAGUGAAAGGAUGAAAGAGCUUCCAGGGCUAAGGAAACAUCCAGUAGGCUAGGAAGAUCAUCAUAUUUUUCUUUCUUUUAUAUUUCCAGAAAAUGAGUCUAUAGUGUUGCAUAGCAUUGCCUCACACCCUCUGAGAGUAGAAGGUUCUGUUUGAUAUUGAACCUUUGUUCAUCUUCCUGUGAUAUAGACCCCCCCCCCAUACCUACCCUUGUUCUCUAACCAAGGGACAUACAGACUCACUGUCCUCACCCCUAGGGUACCACUUCAUCCCAGUGGAGAGUGCUCACUCAGCUCUCCUUUCUGCCCAGAUGUGAGGCAUUCAGUUCCCUUCCUGGCCACUUAGGAAGGAAGAAGCACAUAUUGAGAGUCACCCUGUGCAUAGAGCAAGGCUGGACAUUGUAGGGAAGAUAGCUGAAAUGUAAAGUGUUUUUCCUGCCAUCCAGAGGCUGCUCAUCAUCAGUCUAUAAAGUCUGCUUUUCAAACUUCAAAUCCCAACACUGUCACCCGCUCAACACCCUCCAACGCCCUGCCACAGCAUAGGGGUUUAAGCACCCGAGCUUUGACGUCAUAUGGACAAGUUGUGUGACCUUGGGCAAGUUUCUAAUCUUUUUGAGCCUUAGUGUUCUCGUCUAUGAAAUAUUAUUAACCUUGUGUGGUACUUUUGAGGAUUAAAAGAGUUAAAGUAUGUGUAGAAAUUCAGAUAAUUUUUGAGAGAAGUCACAGGAAGCAUAACUUAAAGUGGUAUAAGGAGAAAGGAGAAAUUUGUUGAUUUACAUAAUUGAAAAGUCCAGGGGUCAUGCCAAUUACAGGAGUAGCUUGAUCCAGGGGCUCAAAUGCUGUCACCAGAACUUGGUUUUUCUCCACCUCUAGCUCUACUUUCCUUUUUUGACUUUGUUCAAGGCUCCAUGUGGCGGCAAGAUGGCAGCCAAGAAGCACAGACCCUAUUCUCCUUUGUUCCAGUCCAACAUUCAAAUGAAAGUCCUGAGCCUGACACUCAUUGGUCUGAAGAUGGUCAAAUGCACAUCCUUGAAUUCAUUACUUGGCCAGAGAAUGGGACAUGCUGAUUGGCUUAAGCCUGGGUUCUGGGCCACCCCUGGAACUAAGGAGGGGUCUACUCAACUCAAACAUAAAAUAGUAUGUCCACUACAGUAGGUAAGUCACCUAGCACAGUGGCUAAAAUAUAAAAAGUCCUUAAUGAACGAUCACCAUCAUCACCAGGAUUCUAUUUCAGUCUGGAUAUCUCAAACAAACAUAACUCUAUUCUUAAACAAGAGCCCUCGUGCUGCUGAAUUGAGAGAAGUGUUAUCUGUAGCAGACAUUUGUCAUUCAUGGCUGCAAAAAUCUCUUUAACACUCUUUCUACAUUUUGAUAGUUCCUUAUGCUAAUGGGUCCUGUCUAGCCCAAAUAGAAUCCAAAAAAUUCGCUUUUCCCACACAACUCAUCCCGUCUUCACAACUACUAUUCAGUUUCUUUCAAUCCUGUGCACCCAUGAGAGAAUCUGAUUUGGAAGUGAGUUAUGGAAAAGAGAGGAAUUGGGGCUGGCCCCGUGGCCGAGUGUUUAAGUUCGUGUGCUUUGCUUCGGCAGCCCGGUGUUUGCAGGUUCGGAUCCUGGGUACGGAUGUAGCACUGCUCAUCAAGCCACGCUGAGGCAGCAUCCCACAUAGCAGAAAUAGAAUGACCCACAACUAGGAUAUACAACUAUGUACUGGGGCUUUGAGGAGGAUAAAAAAAGAGGAAGAUUGGCAACAGAUGUUAGCUCAGGGCCAAUCUUCCUCAGCAAAAAAAAAAAGUGAUGUACUUUAAAAAAAAAAAAAAAAAAGGAGGCAUGGAACAUCCAUUUUGCUGUUGUGGAUGGUGGGAGCCAUCCAGUUGAUUCUAGAGUCAGUUUGAGGCAACACUCUUAUCAGGUGAGUUCCCUAGGGUAGCUUUAGACAUUGCUCCAAGAUCAUUAGUCCAGAAAUUAUUCCUCUAGUUCUUCUGAAGAUUCUGUUGUGUUUACCACCUGUACCAAAUCCCUUCUUAGAUAAAGCAAGUAGAAUGAUAAUGUUGCCUGCAACUAAGAACACCAACCAAUAAGCCGCCCAAGAACUCCCCAGUCCUCCCAUGCGCAGGCUGGCAUCACGGUUCCCUGCGCGUGUGUCUCGUCUUCUCAUCAGACUGUUCUCCACGAUGCAAGCGGAUACCUUUUAAAAAAGUAAAUGCUCAGAAAAAUGCCAGUUCUGUGACAAAAUAAAUGAAUUCAUGACUGGCCAUUUGGGGAAUAUUAGAAGCUUAGAAUGUGAAGAGAUUAGGAAAUUAUUGAGCUCAUGGUACACACUGGACAGAUGAUAUUGAAGACCCAGAAGGUUAAUUGACUUGAACUGUCGUCUUUAUAUGUCUAGUUGAUAUUGUUUCCAUCAAAACUAUAAAAAAAAUUAUGGGUUUAACAUCAUAUCAAAUUUAUAAGGAUAAUAUUAAUUAUUUUUAAGGUUCUAGAAUUUCAUUUUGUUCACUAUUCUUUUUCAAAGAAAAAUUCUUUUUCAAUUGACAUAGACUUUGGACAUUUAUUUCUCUCGUCAUAGAGACAUGGAGCUUCAUGAAUCAGUGACAAUGCUAAAAAGGACCUACUCCGAAUUUGUCUUCUAGCGGCCACACCCACUACUGGCUUAUAUCAAGGUCCAGCGUUAGGACCAUGGACUCUGCAGCCAGAUGGCCUGAAUUUGAAUUAUAGCGCUGGCACUUUCUAGCUAUGUAACUAUAUGCAAGUCAUUUAUUCUCUUUAUGCCUCAACUUCCCAUCUGAUCAUUGGGCAUAGUGAUAGUACUUACCUGGUAAAGUUGCUGUGAGAACGAAAAGAGUUAAUAUUUGUAAAAUAUUUAGAACAGUGCUUCUUAGUACAUUGUAAGUCCUACAUGAUUGCUAAUUAAAAAAAUAUUUAAACAAAAAAACAUUUAAUUAAAAAAUGUUGAGCUUGCAGUUAACUAAAGCCUCACAUACGUGGCUGCCGAUUCAGUCUCCCUCAGUCUAAAAUUGUUCAAUUGAUUUUGUUUCCAGCCGAAAUGCAAGCCUUUGCACUUAACCCUGCUGAGUUUCCUUUUGGUGGCGCUGGCUCUGAGGCACUUUCAUUUCCCUUCACUUUCUGCGCUCACCUACCCGCCCCCCAGCCCCAGAGCAGAUGCUAAUGAGAGAGGUGGAAAAGGGAAGGGAGGCGUCCCCUGCAGACUUCGCACAGGGUCUGCAGUCCUCAAGAUCUGCCUGCAGCUUAGCUUUGGAGCCCAACCAAGUUUAAGUGGCUCUAAUUACUUGAAAAUGAGGCAUACAGUGAAAAUCUGACGAGCCCAUAAACUUAAUAGCUGAUCUCCAGGCAGCACUGCUACCAAACUGAUUUUUAACUGCCAUCAAAAUAAGCCCAGGAGGUUGUUAGCCAAAGCACCCCAGUAAAUGUCAUGAGGUGCAGGACAAUGGGGACAGUUGUGACUCUUACAAAACUGCCAUGUCCACAGGUGGAAUGAAGUGUCUGCCCUAUUAAGGAAUAGAGACACAAUUCAGGGAAGCAAGCCAUCCAAAUGCACCGCUUGAAUCCUGUUGGGCUGUUCUGAUGUAGAAGAAGAUAAGAAAAAGAAUUAACUGGGGAGACUUAAGAUGCGGAACUACAAAAAUAACCUUGUGUCCCUGACAUCUGUGUUUAUAAAGGCACGAUGUUAAACAGCAGAGAUUUUCCCUGUGGCUAGCCAAUAUCAAGAUGGUGCCUUGCGUGUUAUGUUUUUCUGUAGCCCUCAUCGGACGCCCUUCUCUUACUCUCCCUUUUCUUCCAGCUUUUGUUUUCGUCUCUCCAUAAAGAGUUGGCAGAAACGUAGCUGGGCAAUUUCAGAAACAUGGCUUAUAACCAACCUGCUCCACUAUUUUGCUACAAAAAGUGAGCCUGUGCUAACUGUUCUGUAAUGAAGUACUUGGUCCACGCCCCGCUUCUCGCCCAGGUGGUGAUUUUCCCCAUCAACAACCCCAGAGCAGGUUAGAAUCAAAGUGACACAUGCAGGAGCCAGAUGUUUGGAGAGUAAGAAGGGGAGGUGGAAAUCGAAGGACUGACUUUUGGAAUGUUCUGGAAUGUAACUCAGAGCAAGCUGAGAGGACAUUUUUUAGUCUUGUUUUUAAGAAAACAGCUGAUCACUUUCGCUGGUGGAAGCCCACGGGCUCCAGUUCAUGCCCCUUCAUUUUGUCUCUGUCGUCUGUGGAGACUUUGAAGAUGUUUACACAGCACCUCAACUAUAGAGAGGACGAGAACGUCCUUCAUCUUGGGCAGCUCCUCCUUCCAAGUCUUUUCAAAAAGUCAAGGAAUCUGAGACCUAAGAGGUAUAAACUGACUGGAGUGAAAGGAGGGGAAGGGAGAAGUGAUUCUUCAGUUCAAUGAUCUGCGUCUGGUUCUGGCUUAUUGUACUGACAGCAAACAAGAUGUCGAGUUGAACUCUACCUCAGCCUCAGCAGGUGCAGCCCAGGGCCAGAGGCAUGGCAAGUGCAUAACAAAAAGACCCCCUUCCAUGGGACAGACACAGCUCUGCACAAAAGCAUGUGGCUUGGCACCUUGGAGAGCAAAAGGAGAGCCACCCCCUCAGCCAGCAGAUUGUGCAGUGUGGGACCUGCACGCCAUAUGCAGCACUCCUGAAAUGACACCACGAGGCCCCCCCAUAGCAAGGCAUGGGGAGCAACAGCUCAUCCGGAGGUCUUAGCUGCCAGGCUGUGCUCCCCAUGCUGUCAAGGUGGAGGCUCCUGAAGAAGGGCAGAAGCACUGAAGGCUGCUCCCUGAGUGAACUCUCCUUGGACACCGGCCAGAAUCAAAACUUGGCUUCCUCUCACCCUUUAAAAUAUGGUUGGGCUCAAUGAGGUCUUACAAGGUUGUCUGGGCUUCCAUGCUCAGGAAUGAGUCCUGCCAUUGGGCCACCCAGCCUCGUCCCUGGACCUUUCCAGAUCCAUUCAGAACCCAGCUGCCAGUGUGGAGACUCAGCAAUCUAUCUGGUGGCGGCAUGUUUAUUUCGAAAACAGUCAUGAGACUUGAUUUGAUGUAGUGAAAGAAAUGAGCGCUUGCUGAAUAUGGCCCAGUUGUGACUGCAUUAAUUCAUGGAGAUUAGCAGCUGACACUGGCUGGAAGGUAUGAUCAGGACAUUUCAGUAAGUUUGGCUGAAGAGAAUGGCCUUUCCACGGCUGCUGCACCUCCCUUCCCCCACACCAAAGCUCCCAGGAAGACUUCAUAUCUGGAAUGACUUUCUCAACAAGGGCCCACAGUGUUAUUUUAAUGCUCGCUGGAAAUGGACAAACGGAAGCAUGGUUGGGAAAUGCCCCCAAAGUCAGUCAUCAAACUGAUGCCCUUUGAGACCUGCUUUCUCCCAAGCCCACGUUCUAACCAUUGAAUGACUCUUCAAAGAUGGAAGAAAUUCUAACACGCUACCAGGGAAAUACAGCAAGACAUUUUCUUGUGGAUCAUCCAACUUGGUAAGUGAAUUGACACCUUGUGUAAGCAGUUAUGUAUGUUCUCAGCUGCAAGGAACAAUGGCUUAAACAAAUAAAGGAUGAUUUUCUCACAGUUAUGCGUUGAACUGUGUCCCCCGACCCCCAAAAUCUUAUGUUGAAGCCCUAACCCCUAAUAUCUCAGAAUGCGGCUGCAUUUGGAGAUAGGGCCUUUAAA
ensembl:lncRNA